AAUAGCUGGUUCGGCCCAAAAUAAACAAGCACCUGAGUCCAGGAGUCCAGACUCUGCAUCCCAACAUAUACGAAUCAGUACGAAGUUUUGAUUAAUUGUGUCCGGAUGUUGAUUAGCUCUUUAUAAAGACUACAUUUUCGAAACCUACAAAAGCUAAUCCGGCCUCAAAUAGCUGGUUUGGCCCAAAGUAAUAUACUUUUAGCAUCUUACAAGUUUUGGGCUUUUUGUUUUUUUUGGUCUGACAAGUUUUGGUCUUGUAGGUUAAAGGUCAUAAGUCAUGGGUUAUCAGAGAUAAGAUGAGCUUAUUAAAAGGCCCACUAAUUUAACCAUCAU